UACGUAGGGCGCAAGCGUUGUCCGGAAUCAUUGGGCGUAAAGAGCUCGUAGGUGGUCUGUUACGUCUGCUGUGAAAUCCUAGGGCUUAACCCUGGGCCUGCAGUGGAUACGGGCAGACUAGAGGUAGGUAGGGGAGAAUGGAAUUCCCGGUGUAGCGGUGAAAUGCGCAGAUAUCAGGAAGAACACCCGUGGCGAAGGCGGCUCUCUGGUACGUGACUGACGCUGAGACGCGAAAGCGUGGGGAGCGAACAGG
rnacentral:rRNA from 1 species